CAAGAAAUUCAUUGGUUAAUUUC
rnacentral:miRNA from 1 species